rnacentral:rRNA from 1 species
GGUCAAGCGAACAAGUGCAUGUGGUGGAUGCCUUGGCGAUCACAGGCGAUGAAGGACGCGGUAGCCUGCGAAAAGCUACGGGGAGCUGGCAAACAAGCUUUGAUCCGUAGAUGUCCGAAUGGGGAAACCCACUCCUUUUGGAGUAUCCAUGGCUGAAUACAUAGGCCAUGCGAAGCGAACGCGGUGAACUGAAACAUCUAAGUAACCGCAGGAAAAGAAAUCAACCGAGAUUCCCAAAGUAGUGGCGAGCGAAAUGGGAUGAGCCUUGCACUCUUUAUUUGUAUUGUUAGCCGAACGCUCUGGAAAGUGCGGCCAUAGCAGGUGAUAGCCCUGUAGGCGAAAACAGUAUGAAAGAACUAGGUGUGCGACAAGUAGGGCGGGACACGUGAAAUCCUGUCUGAAGAUGGGGGGACCAUCCUCCAAGGCUAAAUACUCGUGAUCGACCGAUAGUGAACCAGUACCGUGAGGGAAAGGCGAAAAGAACCCCGGGAGGGGAGUGAAAUAGAUCCUGAAACCGCAUGCAUACAAACAGUCGGAGCCUCGUAAGGGGUGACGGCGUACCUUUUGUAUAAUGGGUCAGCGACUUACGUUCAGUAGCAAGCUUAACCGUAUAGGGCAGGCGUAGCGAAAGCGAGUCCGAAUAGGGCGUUCAGUUGCUGGGCGUAGACCCGAAACCAGGUGAUCUAUCCAUGGCCAGGAUGAAGGUGCGGUAACACGUACUGGAGGUCCGAACCCACUAACGUUGAAAAGUUAGGGGAUGAGCUGUGGAUAGGGGUGAAAGGCUAAACAAACCUGGAAAUAGCUGGUUCUCUCCGAAAACUAUUUAGGUAGUGCCUCGUGUCUCACCUUCGGGGGUAGAGCACUGUCAUGGUUGGGGGGUCUAUUGCAGAUUACCCCGCCAUAGCAAACUCCGAAUACCGAAGAGUGCAAUCACGGGAGACAGACAUCGGGUGCUAACGUCCGGUGUCAAGAGGGAAACAACCCAGACCGCCAGCUAAGGUCCCCAAAUAUAGCUAAGUGGGAAACGAAGUGGGAAGGCUAAAACAGUCAGGAGGUUGGCUUAGAAGCAGCCACCCUUUAAAGAAAGCGUAAUAGCUCACUGAUCGAGUCGUCCUGCGCGGAAGAUGUAACGGGGCUAAGCUAUAUACCGAAGCUGCGGAUGCGUGCUUAGCACGCAUGGUAGGAGAGCGUUCCGUAAGCCUGCGAAGGUGCCUUGUAAAGGGUGCUGGAGGUAUCGGAAGUGCGAAUGCUGACAUGAGUAGCGAUAAAGGGGGUGAAAGGCCCCCUCGCCGUAAGCCCAAGGUUUCCUACGCAACGUUCAUCGGCGUAGGGUGAGUCGGCCCCUAAGGCGAGGCAGAAAUGCGUAGCUGAUGGGAAGCAGGUCAAUAUUCCUGCACCAUUGUUAGAUGCGAUGGGGGGACGGAUCGCGGAAGGUUGUCCGGGUGUUGGAAGUCCCGGUCGCUGCAUUGGAGAAGGCACUUAGGCAAAUCCGGGUGCG